GAUGAACGCUGGCGGCGUGCCUAAUACAUGCAAGUCGAGCGAACGGACGAGAAGCUUGCUUCUCUGAUGUUAGCGGCGGACGGGUGAGUAACACGUGGAUAACCUACCUAUAAGACUGGGAUAACUUCGGGAAACCGGAGCUAAUACCGGAUAAUAUUUUGAACCGCAUGGUUCAAAAGUGAAAGACGGUCUUGCUGUCACUUAUAGAUGGAUCCGCGCUGCAUUAGCUAGUUGGUAAGGUAACGGCUUACCAAGGCAACGAUGCAUAGCCGACCUGAGAGGGUGAUCGGCCACACUGGAACUGACACACGGUCCAGACUCCUACGGGAGGCAGCAGUAGGGAAUCUUCCGCAAUGGGCGAAAGCCUGACGGAGCAACGCCGCGUGAGUGAUGAAGGUCUUCGGAUCGUAAAACUCUGUUAUUAGGGAAGAACAUAUGUGUAAGUAACUGUGCACAUCUUGACGGUACCUAAUCAGAAAGCCACGGCUAACUACGUGCCCGCAGCCGCGGUAAUACGUAGGUGGCAAGCGUUAUCCGGAAUUAUUGGGCGUAAAGCGCGCGUAGGCGGUUUGUCGCGUCGUCUGUGAAAUUCCGGGGCUUAACUCCGGGCGUGCAGGCGAUACGGGCAUAACUUGAGUACUGUAGGGGUAACUGGAAUUCCUGGUGUAGCGGUGAAAUGCGCAGAUAUCAGGAGGAACACCGAUGGCGAAGGCAGGUUACUGGGCAGUUACUGACGCUGAGGAGCGAAAGCAUGGGUAGCGAACAGGAUUAGAUACCCUGGUAGUCCAUGCCGUAAACGGUGGGCGCUAGGUGUGAGGGUCUUUUCACGACUUUCGUGCCGUAGCUAACGCAUUAAGCGCCCCGCCUGGGGAGUACGGCCGCAAGGCUAAAACUCAAAGGAAUUGACGGGGGCCCGCGCAAGCGGCGGAGCAUGUGGAUUAAUUCGAUGCAACGCGAAGAACCUUACCUGGGCUUGACAUACACUGGAUCGGGCUAGAGAUAGUCUUUCCCUUUGUGGCUGGUGUACAGGUGGUGCAUGGUUGUCGUCAGCUCGUGUCGUGAGAUGUUGGGUUAAGUCCCGCAACGAGUGCAACCCUUGUCUUAUGUUGCCAGCAUUUGGUUGGGGACUCAUGAGAGACUGCCGGGGUCAACUCGGAGGAAGGUGGGGAUGACGUCAAAUCAUCAUGCCCCUUAUGUCCAGGGCUUCACACAUGCUACAAUGGUCGGUACAACGCGCAGCGACACUGUGAGGUGGAGCGAAUCGCUGAAAGUUGUUCUCAGUUCGGAUUGGGGUCUGCAACUCGACCCCAUGAAGUCGGAGUCGCUAGUAAUCGCAGAUCAGCAAUGCUGCGGUGAAUACGUUCCCGGGCCU
rnacentral:rRNA from 1 species